ACAUUUAAAAUGAUAAUCUCAAAAAUGAUCUUUUGUUUUUGAGCUAAAAAUAUUUUAAUGAUAUACUGUUUAAGAGAAAAACACUGGGUAUGAAAGUAUAUACAUAGUUUAUUUAUUUUUUUUUUUGAGACACAGUCUCACUCUCACUCAGGAUGAAGCGCAGUGGUGUGAUCUCAGUUCACUGCCACCUUUGCCUCCCUGGGUUCACCGAUUCUCCUGCUUCAUCCUCCUGAGUAGUUGGGAUUACAGGUGCACACCACAAGGCCUGGCUAACUUUUGUAUUUUUUAGUAGAGACAGGAUUUCACCAUAUUGGCCAAACUGAUCUUGAGCUCCUGACCUCGUGAUCUGCCCAACAUGGACUUCCAAAGUGCUGGGAUUGCAGGCGUGAGCCACUGUGCCUGGUCCAUAGUUUUAUCCUAUCUGUUUAAAAAUAAAGAUGGAAAGAUACGUAUGUCAAUAAGUUUACAUUUCUUUCUUAAUACUUUGCUGCACUGUCCGGGUAUGGACAAUCAGUUCACAUUCUGAAGCUACGGGGCUAACCCGGAGUGCUCACUGUGGCUAACCCGGAGUGCUCACCGUGGCCAACCCGGAGUGCUCACUGUGGCCAACCCGGAGUGCUCACUGUGGCCAACCCGGAGUGCUCACUGUGGCUAACCCGGAGUGCUCACUGUGGCCAACCCGGAGUGCUCACUGUUGCUAACCCGGAGUGCUCACUGUGUGUGCCAGGCCCUGGGCUCAAUGCUCUACAUGCAUUUUUAUUUCAUUUAAUUCUCUCCACUACCUGAGAUAAAAUAGCCAACCCAUUUUACAGAGUUGCAACUGAGGCUCAGAGACUGAAAGUUAAGUGCCUGAGGUUGCAGUUAAUAAGAGGCGGAGCUGGAACUGAAGCCUACGUGUGCCUGACAGCCAGUUCACGUUCUGACAGUAGGCCAGUCUGCUUCACAGAGCGUGGAGUAGAUGGUGCAUGCCUGCUAGGAUGGACCAGGUAUCACUGUAGGUAAUGAGCAGCCCCUAAAAAUGGAAAUUUAAAACACUGAAGGCUCUUUCUCUGCUCGUGCUGCACAUCCUCCAUGGCUCUCCUGGGUCUUGUGCUCCACAUCCCAUCAUCUGCCACCAGAAUAAAGAAGCAGCCUCCAUAUGGGACCUGUCAGUGGCUCUAAGAGAUGAAGGAAAGGGUGGCCAGGCUUAAUGGCUACCAACUCUUUUGCCUCGAGGUGACACACUUCACUUCCACUCACAUCGCCUGAGUCAAAGCAAAUCCCAUAAUGACCUCCACCUUCAGAGGAGAGCCUGAAAUCCGUGGUGGACUCCAUCAAGGCCACCAUACGGUGUCAGCCUGUGUGGGAGACUGGAGGGGCAGAGGAGAGUGGGGAAGUGAUGGGAAAUGAUAGCAGGACUGAGUCAUGUGCAUUUGCUUUAUCCUCUACCAGGUAGUUUGUCCCAGAGCUGCACAGAAUCAGCAGCAGCAUGAUCAAACAGGGUAAACUUCAGAAAAAGCAGUUUGUUCAGAUGUGAUCCGCAGUGAACUCAGAAUCAGCUGAGUGGCAUUGAGUCAGUAAAUCUCUGACUGCCUCAGUUACCCCAUAUGAUAGUGGUGAAGAUGCGAGCAUUGAGAGUUGGCUUGGAAGGAUAUCAGGAGUGUGAGCAUUCAGCAUUGUAGUUCCUUUAAGUUAAAUCAGGCACUAUCUUUCCUGCAAGUCCCCUGUUUCUUUCAGAUUGCACAGGUGAGAGUGCUCAGAUUAGGGCUGGAGGUCGUGAAAUAUUGUUUCCCACACCAGCAGGUCCCCUGUGUUGUGCGUGCAUUUCGUGCACUUCGUGGGGCCUGAUUAUUGCUCCUUGUUCCAGCGGCCCUGGGUGACUCAAGUGGCCAUUCAAUGACCAGGACUCAGAGGUCUUAGAGUGAUGCUCCAUGAGGCCCCAGGUGCCAGCCACUGCCCUGUCAAAGUGUGAGGCAAGGAACAGGGCAUCAUCUGUGGGGGCAGUGGCCAGCCAGGCUUGGUGACUCUACUUGGUGGACAGAUGAUCCGACACCUGCCACCUCUGAUGGACCCACUGCCUCUGUGCCUGUUUGUCCUGCUGAUGCUCCAGUGGCUGCCCCAGCAUCCCAGCCUAGGUCCAAUGCCACUGAAGACAGACCUGGCCCCUGGGGACCCAGGAGACCUACAGGACUCACUAAGCUGUCCCUAGGAGUCCCCAGACCCUCAUUCUUAUCAAGGACCUAAGAGCCCCACCCCCUGGCCCUCCCUCAACAGCUGUAAAUGAUGAUUUACUGCUGUUAUCAUCAUCACUGUCUUGAGUGGCCAAGGACCUUCCAAGGUGCCCGCUCUGGAAGAAAGAUGUCCUUGGGAGGUGAUGACAUUCGAUACACAGGUGCUCAACAGGUUGCUUCCUCCUAUCCUCAGAUGGUCUUUGACACAGCCAUUGACACUCAUAUUGUGUGAAAGGAAAGCAGCCCAGGGUCACACAGCUGGUCUCAAAUCUAAGGUGCCUUGCUCUGCCUCUAUGAGGGAGCUGUCUGCAAGGGAGGUUGGCCCUGGCUUUGAGGAGACUUUCCUGUGCUGCAUGAAUCACCUCCUCAGUUGGAGGCCCCAAACUCUGCUCACAUCUCCUGCCUUGCCCUGUCUCUGCCUGGGCGAUAAUCAAGGUGACCCCAGCAACCCUCCAUGGACAUGAGAGUACUCUCUGCCAUUUGCUUUUGGGCUAAUCUGACUUCAACACACACUUACGUGGUCUCUCCUUUUACAACCAAGACAACCCCAAUGUGGGGCUCUUUAUGCAGGUGGCAGCACACGAAUAGAAUUGAACGCCAUAGUUGUGUUGUCCCUGUUCUGUUUCUGUUUUCCUUGUGUCUCAGGGUUGUAUUUCUAUUUAUGGUAAAGGCAUUGGCUUUCCAUUUGUAGCAUGAAUAGAAUAUUUGUGGUGUACAAUAACUUUACGGCAUAGUAAAUUGUAAGGAGAUUUAAAGCAGUGGUUUUCAGCUGUGAGAGGCCGGAGUAUGUUCGAGCACUCUGUGUGAUCAGGCAGAAGCAGGCCUUUGGGAAGUUUAGCUGAGGAUGGGUCCAGGAAAGAUAAUGGACAGUGGAGGUCUGACCUGGUCACCAGACCCCUGGGUCCUGCCCACCAGCUUGGCACUCCCCACCCAUCACUCCUGAUCUGCCAAAGCCUCUGGGUAUUUUGGCCAAAUCUCCCAGGAGAGAGGCUGAUGAUCUUUAUCCCUUGAAAUGCACAGAUUCAUUGGAUGUCCCUGGGAGUUCAACCAUGAGAGUCAACUUGGUUUUCUCCCCCUCAUUAGGGUUCAGAAUUAAAAGUCCACCUUCACAGGCAGUAAGAUAAUAUAGAUAAGUGACACCAUCACCCCGUUUCAGAUGUUAACAGGUCUAGGUGUGUAAGGGGUGAUUUGAGACCACACAACCUCGUCCCACACAGUGGAAUUCCCGGGCCAGAGGGAGACAUUUGAUUGCCAUGUUAUGAUCUUCUCACUGAGUGUAAAGACAGUCUUGUUCCAUUUCGGAUUCUUUCUUCUGUUGAUAUAAGGGCACUUUGAAUUUCCAAGCAUAUAGUAAUUUUUGGUUAGCUUUUGAUCAUUGACUUCGAGCACAAUUCUGUGAUCAGAAAACUGCUGUGUGACUGGAUUUGUCUGAAGUAUAUUGAUGUGCUUGAUGAACGCAGUAAGUCGGGUUAAUUUUUGUCAAUGUGCCAUGCAUGCUUAAAACCGGGGUAGCUCCAACAUUCGUUCCCGAGAUACAGGAUGAUGGACGAUGGCCCCAUGGAUGUGGUGGAGGUGGUUUACUCUUGGGACGUUCCGCAUCUUUCUGAUGUUUUGUUGCUUAGAAUAUGAAUGGCGGAGAGCAGGCUGUGGAGCUCCCACUCUGCUGGUGUGUGAGGUUCUUCCUGCCAUCAUUUGUUUCUUAUACUUUGCAGCCAGGACUGACCAUGAGAAACCCUGUGAGCUCAGGAAGGAAGGAGCCGCCCAGAAGCAGGGACAGGGAGCUGGUGGGGAAGGCCAGAAGUCAGUUCUGUGAAGGUUCCAGAGAGCCUUGGGAGGUGCUUGGGAACUGAGAUGGGGGAGGGGCAUUGGAAGACGAGGGUGUUCCAUGGAUUGUCCACUGUGUGUGAGGUACCACGUUUUGGGGCUGGGGAUUGGUGGAGGGGGAGUAUAAAGCCCCAGGGUUGCUUAGGCAGUGCCCAGACAGGAGAAGGUGUGGUGGGAACCAGAGCCCUGGUCUUUGCCUAAUUGCUCCUGAGCCUCCUGCUUUCUUGCCCACAUGUCCUGUGGCUUCCCUGAUACUUUCUCCCUAUUUGUAGCUGAACUUCCCACUCACCCUUGAAGACUUAGUUUGAACCGGAUCCUUUCCCAGACCCCCUCUUCCAGGGCUCCCUGACAGGACCAGGACAUACAAGUUUGGUGGCUGCUCUUUUGGCUCCUCCUCCUGGGGUUUCCCAGCCAUCAAUCCACGCACCUGCCCCGAGUAAAUCCCAGCACAUGGUGAAAACCACAUUUGGAAUAUUUUAGCUGCUGGCUGUAUGUUAAAUCACUUGCAUCCCCAACUUUCAACUAUGAAAGGACAAGUAUUUAUACUGAACAACACGGAAUUCUGUGACUAUGAUCAAAGGUAAUAUGUGAGACUCCUGGCAACAUGUGAUGCAAGAAAGUGCUCAUUCAUAGAUUGCAGUCAAAUAGAGGUACAUGUUUUUUUUUUUUUCUUAUUGCAUUUUAGGUUUUGGGGUACAUGUGCAGAGCAUGCAAUACAGUUGUAUAGGUACACACAUGGCAGUGUGUUCUGUUUUCUUUCACCCCUUCAACCACAUUUGGCGUUUCUCCCCAGGCUAUCCCACCCCACCUUCCGCUCCCACUGGCCCUCCCCUUUUCCCCCCAAUAGACCCCAGUGUUUAGUACUCCCCUCUCUGUGUCCAUGUGUUCUCAUUUUUCAUCACCCGCCUAUGAGUGAGAAUAUGCGGUGUUUCAUUUUCUGUUCUUGUGUCAGUUUACUGAGAAUGAUGUUCUCCAGAUUCAUCCAUGUUCCUACAAACGACACAAACUCAUCAUUUCUGAUUGCUGCAUAAUAUUCCAUGGUGUAUAUGUGCCAAAUUUUUUCAAUCCAGUCUAUCAUCAAUGGGCAUUUGGGUUGAUUCCAGGUCUUUGCUAUUGUAAAAAGUGCUGCAAUAAACAUUCGUGUGCAUGUGUCCUUAUAGUAGGAUGAUUUAUAGUCCUUUGGGUAUAUACCCAUGGUACAUGUUAAUGGAAGUGCCAGUCACACGUUGGAUCUGGUCAUCAGGAGGCCCACAGCGCACCGUGUGAGCGUGAGAACUCAGUUCCAGCUCAGCUACUGCCAACAGGGCUAGGGUCAUGUGCUUGGUCACAGCCUCUCCUAGCCUCAUAGUCUUUGUUUUUUAUUUUUAUUUUUGAGACGGAAUCUCGCUCUGUUGCCCAGGCUGGAGUGCUGUGGCGCGAUCUCGAUCUCGACUGACAGCAACUUCCACCUCCCGGGUGUCAAAAAUGCCCGCUUGGAAUAAAGAGACCACCCAGACAGGCUUUGUGUGAGCAACAGGGCUGUUUAUUCACCUGGGUGCAGGUCAGCUAAGGCUGAAAAGGGCGUUAGCAAAGGGCAGUGGGAUAGGAGUUGGUUUUAUAGGUUUGAGGUGGGCAGUGGAAAGUUAUAGAGAGUAAGAUCAGUUACAGUGGUGGGGGUAGAGGCAAGGAGUAUACAUUACCAUAAGCUCAGUUACAAUGGUGGCUGCAGGUGAGGCAGGAGAGCAGUUAAGAUGACAGGAUGGGUGAGGUGUUCACAUUAUCAUGAGAACAGUUAAGAUGGCAGGGUUGGGUGAGAGGCUUGACCAGGGAAGCUCUGCUGGGCGAUCAGGGACAAUGGUGAAUGCAGGCGGGGGCUGGGAGACCAUCAGAAGGCUAGCAGGAUUUCAGACUUUCAGGGUCAAGGCUUGCAUCUGGAGGCCUGACACCAGGUUCAGACAGUUCCCUGACUCAGCCUUUCAAAUAGCUGGGAUUAUAGGUGCCCGUCACCACGCCCAGCUAAUUUUUGUAUUUUUAGUAGAAACGGGGUUUCACCAUCUUGGCCAGGCUGGUCUUGAACUCCUGACCUCAUGAUCCACCUGCCUCAGUCUCCCAGAGUGCUGAGAUUAUAGGUAAGAGCCAACGUGCCGACCGCCUUAUAGUCUCUGUCUGAAAUACAGAGGCAGAGGUGUUCUUCCCAGGGCUGUCCAGGGUUCAGUGAGACGAGUUAUGCAGGUCUAUCAGCAGAGCGACUUGGACAAGGGAGAGGCUCCAAAGCUGUCCUCUUUCCACAGUUGCUCAGAGCGACUGUGAGACUGGAAAGUUGCCCACGUGGGAGGGUGGCCGUGUGCAGGGAGGAUGGGACCUGGUGAGGAAGGAGACCCAAGCAUCUGAGAUCACCUCCCCCUUGACUUCCACACUGCAUUUCCCUAGAAGUAAAGGCUGGCCGACCGGGCGCCGCCUUAAUCGCCCUCCUAUAGAUGGCAGGCAUGGUGUGGGGGAAUCUUUCCGGAAGUCAUUGUUCUAAUUUAAACAACUUCAAACCCCCACCCCACGCCUACUCCAUGAACCGAGACCCUUUCACGUGUAAUAUCUGCAGUUCUAAGCCCAUAUACAGGCGGGGCUUCUGUUUAUUAGAGGAGCUAGGCUGCUAGGCAGUUACGCCGCCUUGCUCCAGCGCGCCCUCUGCUGGUGGCCGGGGGCACUGCAGGGCCCUCGCGCUCACAGCAAUGGUGGAGGACGCGCGCCCUCUGGUGGCCAUUACGCUGAAACGCUUAAAGUCAGAGCGCAGUGUUCAGCACCAUCGUUCUGGAAAUGCAAACUGACACGGAGCCCACUAGCCCAGGUUUUUCUAAAAAGGAAGAAGGGGCAAUUGAUUGGAAACCAUAGGCAUGAAAUAAACAUGGAUGCACAUUUUUCAACUUAACGGAAAAAUUCACUCAAAAUAGUCUUCACACUUGAAAUGGAAAACCGUUAGAGGCAUCUUAACCACAGUGACUUUAAUUUGAAUCAAAGCUUUAGAAAAAGUUAAAUCUGGACAGGGUGCAGGGCUCACGAGUGUAAUCCCAGCACUCUGGAAGGCCAAGGCGGGAGGAUCACUUGAGAUCAAGAGUUCAAGACCAGCCUGGGAAAAUAGUGAGACCCCCAUAUGUACAAAACAUAUAAAAAUUAGCUGGUGUGGUGGCGUGUGCCUGUGGUCCCAGCUACCCAGGAGGCUGAGGCAGGAGGAUCGCUUGAGCCCACGAGUUCGAGGCUGCAAUGAGCCAGCCAUGAUCACACCACUGCACUCAAGCCUGGGAGACAGACUGAGACCCUGUCACACACCCACCCCCCCAACACACACACACACACACACACACACACAUAUUAAAUUUGUUGGAUUAAAUAUUUAGGGGUUGAGCAACUUUGAUUAUAAAAUAUUCUUGGUUACAGGAACAAGUUAAUAACUAAAGACCCAAAACUUAUAAAAAAUAUACCAGUACUUUAAGCAAAAAGCAUUCUUAAUUUAAAAAUAAGUUUUAAACACUCAUAAGUUAUUGUUAAAAUCAAUAGUAACAUAGAAAAAUAACGAUACUAAUAGCCUGACACAAACUGAUCACAGGGCUUUGUAAGAGACAACACUAUUGUUAAGAACCUAUAUAAGCAAACAUUAAGGCCAGGCGCAGUGGCUCACUCGUGUCAUACCAGCACUUUGGGAGGCCGAGGAGGGCGGAUCACUUGAGACCAGGAGUUGGAGACGAACAUGGCCAACAUGGUGAAACCCAGUCUCUACUAAAAAUACAAAAAGGAAAAAAGCUUUACACAGUGGCAGUAUUGUUGUCAUCUGAGGCGUAGGUUUAUCUGAGGCGCAGUUGUUGCUAAUUGAAAACUUUUCCCAAUACCCCGCCAUGACGAUUGGAAAUAUAGUCGGCACUGGCAAGUUUUCUCAGUCUCUACGGGGACUGAAUAAAACAAAACGAUUAAAUAAAUUUUUAAAUAAAGUAAAUUAAAAUGGAAAAGAAAUACAAAAAAAUUAGCCAGGCAUGGUGGCGCACACAUGUAAUCCCAGCUACUUGCGAGGUUGAGGCAGGAGAACCCUUAAACCCAGGAAGCAGAGGUUGUAGUGAGUCAAGAUCAUGUCAUUGCGACAAGAAUAAAACUCUGUCUCAAAAAUCGUUUUUUCGUUUAAAACAGGUGCGUUCCUCCUCUGGCUUUCUGAGGACUCCCUGCUCUGUAACUGAGCAGGGGCUAAUAAACUCUCUUCAUGUCACUAGACUCUGCGACUUGCCAUAAAUUCCAUUUCGCGUGACAUCCAAAAACCGUUGUUGGAGUCUGAGACAAGACCCCUUUUCUGGCGACAAAACUAUACUAAUUCUUCUUUUUUAUUUUCUUUUC